ACAGGUACGUGGGCGGGCGGAUCGUGGUGGCUGCGCUUGCGAGGACCCUGAGGUAGAUUGGGUGGUUUCAACAGGAACGCAUCCACUGUCUGAGAGUUUAAACUUGAUUUUGUGAGGGGACGAACAGCGUGACAAUUAAAAGAAGAUCUGGGAAUCAAAAGCUUCCUGAGGCCUUCACCAGAAGCAGAUGCUGGUGCCGUGCUUCUACAGCCUGCAGAACUGAAGGACUUUACAGCUUCUCUUUCGCAUAUCCAAAUUGCCAGCAUCACCGCUCUUGCACUCCAAGCCAUUAUUAAGUAAAGUAAAGAACACAAACACUGUGAUACUGCUACACUUGAUCUGAUAACCAAGAAGUCUACUAAGUGACUAACAGAUUUAUAUAUCAGCUUUUUAUCAGUUGAAAUAAACCACCCUGGGCCGGGUGCAGUGGCUCACACCUGUAAUCCCAGCACUUUGGGAGGCCGAGGCAGGUAGAUCAUUUGAGGUCAGGAGUUCAAGGCCAGCCUGACCAACAUGGUGAAACCGCAUCUCUACUAAAAAAUACAAAAAUUAGCCCGGUGUUGUGGCAGGCGCUUGCAAUCCCAGCUACUCAGGAGGCUGAGGCACAAGAAUUCCUUGAACCUGGGAGGUGGAGGUUGCAGUGAGUCGAAACCAAGCCACUGCCCUCCAGUCUGGGCAACAGAUUGAGAGUCUGUCUCGAAAAAAAUAAAUACAUAAAAUAAAUAAGCCACACUGUACUUGUGAAGAUUAACUGAGAUGUUUAAAACAUUAUUUGCAAAAAUGCAAGACAUGAUGUAAGUGUAAAGCAUUAUUAUAUAUCAACAUAAUUGACCAUUAGAAAAAUGCAAAUUAACACCUCAAUGAGAUAUAUCACCAGACACCUGUUAGAAUGGUUAAAAUAAAAAGUACUGAUGAUAUUAAGUGCUGAUAAAAUGCAGAGUAACUCGAUCUCUCAUACAUUGCUGAUGCUAAUGUAAAAUGAUAUCACCACUCUAGAAAACAGUUUGGCAGUUUCUUAUAAAGUUAAACAUGCACUUACUAUACAACCCAGUAAUACACCUACUGGAUAUUCAUUCUAGGGAGAUCAAAAUUUACACCCAAAAACAUGUACAUAAAUGUUCAUAUCAGCUUUAUUUACAAUAGCCCAAAAGGAAACAAUCAGAUGUCCUCCAAUUGAUAACUGGUAUAACCCUAUCACAGAAUCCUACUGAGCAAUAAAAAGGAAAGCACUGUUGAUACAUACAACAACUUGAGUGCAUUUCAAGGCUGUUAUGCUGACUGAAAUAAAAGCUAAUCUCAAAAGGUUAUGUAUUAUGUGAUUCUGUUUAUAUAACAUUCUCAAAUUGCAAAAUCACAGCAAUGAAGAACUGAUCAGUAGUGCCAGGGGUUAGGGUUGUGGGGAGGGUGUGAUGAUGAAUGGGCAGCGUAAGAGAAUUUCUUUGGAGUGAUGGAAUAGUUUUAUAUCUUGAUUAUAGUGAUCAUUAUAUUAAACAAUUGCAUGUGAUAAAAUUCUAUAGGACUGUAUGCCAAAAAUAACUUAAUAUGUUUAUUUUUAAGGUCUGGAAAGCAUGGAAAUUUGUAUCUUCAUUCACUUUUGUUUUCAUGGACUCUUUUCAUGUUUGAACUUUUCAUGGUAUGAGCUGUUUUAUAAUCUAUAAUAUGGAAUGUUUCUCAUACGAAUGUUUUUCUUAUUGAAGAAUGCCAUAGAAAUAAGGGUGUGAGGUAUACUUACUUGACAGGAGAAUUUUACUCCUUUUAUUUUAUUUACUUAUUUAUUUUUAAGACGGAGUCCUGCUGUGUUGUCCAGGCUGGUCUUGAACCCCUGGACUCAAACGAUCUUUCUCCUUGGCCUCCCAAAGUUCUGGGAUUACAGGUAUGAGCUACAGUGCCCUGAGAGUCCUUUUUAAAGUAGUGAAUGCUCAAACAUGGAAUUAAAUUUAGGCAAAGCUCACUUUUAUUUAUACAUAAAACAACUUCAGCCAUGUACCUCAUAACGAUAUUUUGGCCAAUGUCUGACCUUAUAUACAAUGGUUGUCCUGUACGAUUAUAAUGAAGCUGAAAAUUUUCUAUUGCCUAGUAACAUUGUAGUAAUUGUAAUGUAGCACAACCUAUCACACGUGUUUGUAGUGAUGCUGGUGUAAACAAACCGACUGCAUUGCCAGUCUAGUAUAAAAGUCUAGCACACACAAUUAUCCACAGUAUAUAAUAGUUGAUAAUGAUAAUAAACA
ensembl:lncRNA TMEM161B-DT TMEM161B divergent transcript